rnacentral:rRNA from 1 species
UUGGCACCUCGAUGUCGGCUCAUCGCAUCCUGGGGCUGUAGUCGGUCCCAAGGGUUGGGCUGUUCGCCCAUUAAAGCGGUACGCGAGCUGGGUUCAGAACGUCGUGAGACAGUUCGGUCCCUAUCCGUCGUGGGCGUAGGAAAUUUGAGAGGAGCUGUCCUUAGUACGAGAGGACCGGGAUGGACAUACCUCUGGUGUACCAGUUGUCGUGCCAACGGCAUAGCUGGGUAGCUAUGUGUGGACGGGAUAAGUGCUGAAAGCAUCUAAGCAUGAAGCCCCCCUCAAGAUGAGAUUUCCCAACUUCGGUUAUAAGAUCCCUCAAAGAUGAUGAGGUUAAUAGGUUCGAGGUGGAAGCAUGGUGACAUGUGGAGCUGACGAAUACUAAUCGAUCGAAGACUUAAUCAAAUU